UCCCGAGCCCAGAGCAGAUGGUCCGCAGGACACUGGGUUAAAACUGGAACUAUGGCAGCCAUCCGGGGGUUUCUACCUGAUUCGUGGGUUUCCUAAUCGAAGCCAAAAUAGAUAAAGCCCAAAAGACCCAGAUAAUGGACAAAAAACACUGAAGGAUUAAAGACUGUCGAUCUCUACCAGGCCCUGGGCUGGGCGGUGAAAGAAAAAGAAAAAGAAAGAAAAAAAGAAAAAAAAAAAAAACACUAAAAAUAAAGUAUUCCUGGGUGCUCUGUAGGCUGCUGCUGCUGGGUAGCCGAGCUGUCACCUCCAUGAAGUCAUUGUGCAGUUGGUUCCACCUUUUAAAAUCAGUUCAGUCCCAAAGAAAAUGCUGAGACUAUUGAAGGGGAAAUUGGCUUUUGGGGUUUUUUGCUUGUUUGUUCGGGUAUUUGGCUUUGUGUUGUUUUGUGAGAGUGCAAGCGACACUCUGGGUUUGUUAACCCACUGGGCAUGAAAUUAGAAGACAGGACUCUCAGGGUCCACGGGAGCUGGCUGGUGGGGACAGAGGUGGGGGAGAGAAAGACAUAAAGCCCCCAAGGAGAGGAGGCGGACCCCCCCUGGGUUGGGGUCCAGUCCUUGUCUCUGGUUGUGGAUAGAGUGAGACGUUUCUCCAGACAGGGAACGGUCGGGAGCAGGGUUGGGCCCUGCAAGCCUUGAUCAG
ensembl:antisense Gm16105 predicted gene 16105